rnacentral:rRNA from 1 species
UACGUAGGUGGCAAGCGUUGUUCGGAAUUAUUGGGCGUAAAGGGCGCGUAGGCGGUUUGUUAAGUCGGCUGUGAAAGCCUGGGGCUCAACCCCAGAGGGUCGGCCGAUACUGGCAGACUAGAGUACGGAAGAGGUAGCUGGAAUUCCCGGUGUAGCGGUGAAAAUGCGUAGAUAUCGGGAGGAACACCUGAGGCGAAGGCGGGCUACUGGGCCGAUACUGACGCUGAUGCGCGAAAGCGUGGGGAGCAAACAGG